UAUAAUUUACUUGAUCUUGAAAGAAUCCUACUUGGAUAACUGUGGUAAUUCUAGAGCUAAUACAUGCCCUAAAGCUCUGACCUCGCGGGAAGAGUGCAUUUAUUAGAUCAAAACCAAGCGGCUUCGGCCGUCUACCACUGACUUAAAGUAACUAAGCUGAUCGUAUGGUCUUGUACCGACGACGUAUCUUUCAAGUAUCUGCCUUAUCAACUUUCGAUGGUAGUGUAGUGGACUACCAUGGUUGUGACGGGUAACGGAGGAUAAGGGUUCGACUCCGGAGAGGGAGCUUGAGACACGGCUACCAUGUCUAAGGACAGCAGCAGGCGCGCAAAUUACCCACUCUCAGAACGAGGAGGUAGUGACGAAAAAUAACGAGACCGUUCUCUAUGAGGCCGGUCAUCGGAAUGGGUACAAUCUAAACCCUUUAACGAGUAUCUAUGAGAGGGCAAGUCUGGUGCCAGCAGCCGCGGUAAUUCCAGCUCUCAAAAUGCAUAGAAUUAUUGCUGCGGUUAAAAAGCUCGUAGUUGGAUCUGUGCUGGGAACUGGGUCCGCCUUCGGGUGUGCACUCAGCUUCCCGGCUUUUUGCUGGUUUUCCCGUUGUGGCCUUUACCGGUUGCAGCGGGUGGCUGGCGAGUUUACCUUGAAGAAAUCAAAGUGCUUAAUACAGGCGAUUUGCUUGAAUGUGGUGCAUGGAAUAAUAGAAAAGGAUUUCGGUUCUCUUUUAUUGGUUUUACGAGCUGAGAUAAUGGUUAACAGAGACAAACGGGGGCAUUCGUAUCGUUGCGUGAGAGGUGAAAUUCUUGGACCGCAGCGAGACGAACUACAGCGAAAGCAUUUGCCAAGAAUGUC
rnacentral:rRNA from 1 species